UCUCGGGAUUGAGGAAAUACUCCAUAGGUCAUGGGAUCUGGAACGACCCAUGGCCGAAAGCUCCGGCGCUUAAGGAUCGCUCUGCGGCUUAUCAGGUCGUAGUGGGUGUAACGUACCCCCUAGCCGACGACGAGUAUGGGCCUUGAGAGAGGGAGCCCAGAGUUGGAUUCUGAGACACGAAUCCAGGCCCUACGGGGCGCAGCAGUCGCGAAAACUUCACACUGGGGGCAACCCCGAUGAGGGAAUUCCUAGUGCCAGGGCUUUUUGUCCUGGCUUUUCUCCAGCGUAGAUUACUGGAGGAAUAAGGGCUGGGUAAGACGGGUGCCAGCCGCCGCGGUAAUACCUGCAGCCCGAGUGGUGGUCGAUUUUAUUGAGUCUAAAACGUUCGUAGCCGGUCCGGUAAAUCCCUGGGUAAAUCGGGAAGCUCAACUUCCCGGAUUCCGGGGAGACUGCCGGACUUGGGACCGGGAGAGGCUAGAGGUACUUCUGGGGUAGGGGUAAAAUCCUGUAAUCCUGGAAGGACCACCGGUGGCGAAGGCGUCUAGCUAGAACGGAUCCGACGGUGAGGGACGAAGCCCUGGGUCGCAAACGGGAUUAGAUACCCCGGUAGUCCAGGGUGUAAACGCUGCAGACUUGGUGUUGGGGGCCCUUCGGGGGCGUCCAGUGCCGGAGAGAAGUUGUUAAGUCUGCUACUUGGGGAGUACGUCCGCAAGGAUGAAACUUAAAGGAAUUGGCGGGGGAGCACCGCAACGGGAGGAGCGUGCGGUUUAAUUGGAUUCAACACCGGAAAACUCACCAAGGGCGACUGUUACAUGAAGGCCAGGCCGACGACCUUGCCGGAUUUUCAGAGAGGUGGUGCAUGGCCGUCGUCAGUUCGUACCGUAAGGCGUUCUCUUAAGUGAGAUAACGAACGAGACCCUCACCGAUAAUUGCUACUUCUUCCUCCGGGGAGGAGGCACAUUAUCGGGACCGCUGGCGCUAAGCCAGAGGAAGGAGAGGUCAACGGUAGGUCAGUAUGCCCCGAAUCUCUUGGGCUACACGCGCGCUACAAAGGGCGGGACAAUGGGCUCCGACGCCGAGAGGCGGAGGCAAUCCCGAAACCCGUCCGUAGUUCGGAUUGAGGGCUGUAACCCGCCCUCAUGAAGCUGGAUUCCGUAGUAAUCGCGA
rnacentral:rRNA from 1 species